GAGGUCAAUUUUUUCAUAUACUUCUAGGGUUUCUAUAAAGAUACUGUGAAGUUUGUUUUUGAUAGCCGAAAUGAAUGUAAAAAUUUUUGGAAAAAGUGCAUUGAAAAUCACGAAUUUUUUCGAUGUUCCGAUGCAAAGCAAGGAAUACGUAUGAAACCCAAAAUUUUCAGCAGAGGAUCAUCCUUCAGGUAUAGUGGACGGACACAGAAACAAGUAUCUGAAUUUGUGAGAUAGAAUAAUUUCCAAAAAACACUAUUUCAAAGUUGCCACUGAGCUUACACCAGUGCAAGCUGAAGCUGUUCCUUUUCCUUAGGUUGAAGGACAGCGAGGUCUAUAUGGUCGUUUUUGUGACUGGAUGACUUCUCAAUUUUCUGAAUUAGUUGAAGACUUUUCUGAGCCUGUUGUUGUUGAUGAUGAUAGCGCAGAAGAUGAUUCUGAAGGAGAUCCUUUGACAGUUCGAAAGUAAUGCUUCAAAACCUGUCUCUUCUCUUGCUGAUAGCUUCGUAUCGUUGCUACGGUGGAAUUCACCAGGAACAACAUUGUUAGCAUUUUUUAGGAUGGUUUUUGAGUCUGAACAUUUCUAGGAAGCAGGAUCAUGAGGAAGGAGAUUUGGUGGUGUCUGAUAAGUUUCAACUGGUUCUUCAUGUAGCUAGGAAAGUACAGAGAAUAAAUUAGUUCAUAUGACUGAUUGUGUAGCGAAGAUUAAAAAUUUGAUGUUAUGGCAGCAGAUGGAAGUAACUGCCCAUUUAUAUUUUGUAUUCAUUGUUAACUUCAUUGCAUCAUGUAUUUUUUCUGCGCAUCAGUUAUUCACUGUAAUGGGUGAGCAUUAAUUAUUUUAAUAUUGUUUGUAAACUCAUGUUACUUUUUUUGGCUGCAAUAAAUGUUCAAAUUUUUUUAACUU